UCGUCACACCAUGGGAGUGGGUUUUACCAGAAGUGGCUAGUCUAACCGCAAGGAGGACGGUCACCACGGUAGGAUUCAUGACUGGGGUGAAGUCGUAACAAGGUAGCCGUAUCGGAAGGUGCGGCUGGAUCACCUCCUUU
rnacentral:rRNA from 1 species